UUCAGUUUCAUUUUCUCGGAAAACUGAGCUGAGUGUGAAGCAGAGAGGAAACCCUGAGAUACACACAACUUUAAUCAGCUCUAUCUGAAGCUAGAAGUGUAAAUAAAGAAAGUCAUACUAGUCAUACACCAGCAAAUGGAGAUUCAGACAGAUGAAGAUUCAGCUAAAAAGGAUCAGAUGCCUGGUCUGAAUCAGGUCACAAACCAAGACCAACCACUGAUGAAAUUCAGCACUGCUGAAGACGCACAGGUUGUUUAAAAGAGUUACUGUAAUUAACAGCACAUAUUUCUGCCUAAUCAAUCACCUAUCACGGCAAAUCAAAAUAUACCUCUUCUAAUCAAUACAAAUCACAUCUAAACAACACUAAUCUUUACUAAUUCCAUCUAAUCAAUACUAAUCAAUGCAAAUGAAAUCUCCCUAAUACUUAUCAUAUUGAGUUGUGUUCGGGUAAUAACUCGGCUGUUCACCUACCACAUGAAAGCAUUAAAGCUUUAAAGUUAAACACAGUGUGUCACUCUGAAAUGUAUGCUUUGUCUGUAAAUACACUCAAACACAUUAUGAGAUAUAAAAUAAACAUGUAUCAUUCUAAAAGGCGUAACACUGGAUUGGGCCGCCCUUUGCUCAGGUCAUAAUGGUCUGAAUCCUACUGAAUGUUGGAAACGUUCGUUUAAGAUUCCGGUCGAUGUGGUUAUGACUGCAGUCUGUGAUUCCUGCAGGAUUUUCAGGUUCAUCAUCACGCUGUGAAUUUCUGCUUCCACCACAUAUAUACUGGAAUCAUGUUUGAUUGAUUACACAAUUGAUUAAGUAAAUAAUUGAGUGAUUAAGUUGGUGUACUUAUGUUCGUUAUAAAGUGGUCCAUAAGUGUAAAUUACACUGUUCAUUACUUAAUAAUAAUAUCCUUUCAGAUUUCCAAAACUAAAAGGACUAGACAUAUCACUUAUCUUGAGCAGUGAAUUUGUAUGAAUAAAAUGAGCUUUACAUGGCGCACCCUGUAUACAACCCGGCCUAUACACUGUAUACGAUCAUUAUUUGAUUGUCUUCUUUUUAAUGUUACUAUUAGUGUUAAAUUUGACACUAAAUGAGUACAAGGCUUAAAGUCAGCUCUAAACUGACUUUAAACAGCAAGAACUAUUUUCACAUUAAAACUGAUUUAACUUUGGGACUUAAGUUGCUGAUUAAUGU